GGUGAAUAUAAGGGUAGAGAAAGGGUAGGUUUACCAGUGGGCUGAAGAGAAAUCAAAAAAGGAUGAGCUGGUUUUCUGCCCAGUGACGUAUUUCAGUGUGUUGUCUUUGCUUGUUGUGUUCUGUUUUUGUUUUGUAACAGCAGUGGUGCUCCCUGUCAGCGUACCAGUACGGUCAAGAACAUUUGCCUAAUUGAGCUUGGG